rnacentral:rRNA from 1 species
CAGCAGCCACGGUAAUACGUAGGUCCCGAGCGUUGUCCGGAUUUAUUGGGCGUAAAGCGAGCGCAGGCGGUUAGAUAAGUCUGAAGUUAAAGGCUGUGGCUUAACCAUAGUACGCUUUGGAAACUGUUUAACUUGAGUGCAAGAGGGGAGAGUGGAAUUCCAUGUGUAGCGGUGAAAUGCAUAGAUAUAUGAAGGAACACCGGUGGCGAAAGCGGCUCUCUGGCUUGUAACUGACGCUGAGGCUCGAAAGCGUGGGGAGCAAACAGGAUUAGAUACCCGCGUAGUCCCUGUCUCUUAUACC